rnacentral:tRNA from 1 species
CUCGCGUGGUCAGGGCGGUUUAUGUCCGGGACUGCAAAUCCCGGUAGGCUGGUUCGAUUCCAGUACGCGAGUCCA